UGCCUGUCACCGGAUAGCUUGAUAUAUGGGAUUUGGUAUAGUACCUUAGAUCGGUAUAGUACCUUAGAUCCCUUGUGUGAUUUAAUGGCAGAUUGUUCAUCGAUUUUAUUUUUAAUUUAUUUAUUCAUUAUUAUUUUUAUUGGGUCUAACAAUGGUAUGAGAGCGAGGUCACCCGAGAGACAAAGCUAAUCUCAUUGAUAGGCAUCCCAACUUGUUUACAAUGAAUGCUUUUGAAGCCAUCCUAAAGGAGCUUCGGAAGAUAGUCACAGAGCUGCGUCGUGCAUACUAUUUGCUAUAUGAGACAUGCCUUUUUGUGCUCGGGCAUCAUGCAUAGUCAUUUUGGUCAUCCUAAUCAAGCUAUGGAGGCAUGGAUUUCUCAGCGAAAUCAUGAUGAUUCCUGCCUUGCAUGCUCCAUGGCGCUGUUUGUGACCUUUUAUUUGAUAAAGGAGUCUCAACUACAACUGGAAUGAUUGGAUCCACGUAUUCACCUGGGGUGAUAUUGGUAGGGGUUCUUCCUUGUCUACCCAACAACAAUUGCUGGUGCUUCUAAAGAAAUCUCUGAAGAGUGCAGAGAGUUUUGAAACUAACACGGCUUGUGGCCUUCUAUCGCCUUGCAAUGGCGAAAUUUGAUCUUAGGUGUGUUAAGAGAUCAUUGGUUUCUUUUGCUCCUAAAGCACCUAUCAAGCUGAGAUCAUGCCCAAUCGAAGUUUGUGAGGAAUUGAGAUUAAGUUCUUAUCUACUUAGUGAAUUUGGCUCAGAUGGGAGCUCGUUUCUGGCUGAUGGUAUUUUCAGUGUUACAUGGCUGAACAGUCUACAAAAAUAAAGAAUGCCAUCCAUUAUGUCAUCAGAAAAUGGAGUAGAAACCAGUUAUGAUGCAUUUUACUUUGUUGGUCAGCCAAGUCCGAUUUCUGGAUGUGUUUUGCAGCUGGUUGGAACUUCAUAUUUGCUUAAAUAUGCUUCGUGGGAAUCUUUUGACAUGUUUGUUAUGUAAAGCUUUUGUGGUGCAGCAGGCAAGGUCAAGUUAAGGCUGUGUCGUGAUCAUAGUCAAGUUAAUCAAGGUGGGAUUGAUUUUUGGGCCAAGAUGCUUUAAAUUGGCUGAUCAAACUCUUUCAUUGAUGUUAAGCAUGUUUCCAUAGGUAGUUAAGCCGCUCGGCUUCUCACUAGCAUUAUGCCCCUUACAUGAUACCAAGGCUAAGGCGACUUUUCACCAGCAUUAAGCUUUCUUUCUCGUCACUGCCCAAACAGUGAUGCCAUGUCUACUGUCUGUCUGCCCCCCCCCCCCCUUUUAGAGUUGGAAACAGUUCUGAUGUUUUUCCUACUCUACUCUAGUUGGUGUUAACUUUGAAACCACUUUUCUCCACCAAAAUCUCCAAGCCAUCUAUUCAUUUUGAGUUCAAUGUCAAGUCCAAACCCAAACCAAACAUCGAGGUCAAAUCAAUACAGUGUCAUGUUCGCCACAAGUUACUUUGGGCAUGCAAAUCAGACUUACAAUGGUUCACUGGGCUUGGUGGUGUCAAACUCGUCAAGAAACUCUAUUGUUGAUUGGAUUUUCAAGUCAGGAGCAUUUAAUACCUCAAAGACAGCGAGAGCAUCUCGUACAUCUGGGUCCAUCUAUUAAUGCAUAGAUACUAUUUGUCACUUUUAGAAAAGUUUUGAGCUCUUGGUUCCUUUUGAAACUUGAGUUCAUAGUUCAAAGUUCGAGCUGUGAGCUCUUUCUGAACCUUGUGUUCAUUUUCAGACAAAAUACAGGCUCUACUCUCAAGUUGAA